CCGGCAGGAAGGAACCCCGGGAACUGGGGAUAAUACCUCAUAGGUUACGGAGGCUGGAAUGCCCUGUAACCCAAAGCUCCGGCGCCUCAGGAUGAGUCUGCGGCCGAUUAGGUUGUUGUUGGGGUAACGGCCCAACAAGCCGAUAAUCGGUACGGGUUGUGGGAGCAAGAGCCCGGAGAUGGAUUCUGAGACAUGAAUCCAGGCCCUACGGGGCGCAGCAGGCGCGAAAACUUUACAAUGCGAGCAAUCGUGAUAAGGGAACCCCGAGUGCCUGUACACGCAGGCUGUUCAGAUGUCUAAAACACAUCUGGAGAAAGGGCCGGGCAAGACCGGUGCCAGCCGCCGCGGUAAUACCGGCGGCUCGAGUGGUGGCCACUAUUACUGGGCUUAAAGCGUCCGUAGCUGGGUUGUUAAGUCUCCUGAGAAAUCUGCCGGCUUAACCGUCAGGCGUUCAGGAGAUACUGGCAAUCUCGGGACUGGGGGAGGUGAGAGGUACUCCGGGGGUAGGAGUGAAAUCCUGUAAUCCUCGGGGGACCACCUGUGGCGAAGGCGUCUCACCAGAACAGCUCCGACAGUGAGGGACGAAAGCUGGGGGAGCAAACCGGAUUAGAUACCCGGGUAGUCCCAGCUGUAAACGAUGCGCGUUAGGUGUGUCGGUAACCACGAGUUACCGAGGUGCCGUAGGGAAACUGCUAAACGCGCCGCCUGGGAAGUACGGUCGCAAGGCUGAAACUUAAAGGAAUUGGCGGGGGAGCAC
rnacentral:rRNA from 1 species